rnacentral:lncRNA from 1 species
CUCAAGCUCAUCAAUUAAGUCUAGCAAUAAUUCAGAUAACCUUUCUUUAGACAAUAAUUUAAUCUUGUCUUUGAGAUGAAUUACACUUACCUCUUUUUCAUCAUUUGAUUCUCCAAUGGCCAUAAGAGCUUGUUCAUCUUCAACUUCUGAAUUCUCAUUUGAGGUUUCUCUCCAAGCAUCAACCAUGGCCUUUUUUGAUCCUUUGUUCCUUUUAGGUUUAGCCUGUUCCUUAUUCAUGUUCCUUCGUUUAGCUAUUUCCUUCUUCCAUUCGAUUUCCUACUGAAGACAAUUCUUGAUCAUGUGGUCAGUCUUGCCACAUUUGUAGCAGCCCCUGUUGGCCUGUUUCUC